CCUUUCUCUGGUCCCUCCCUGAUUAGCUUAAUAACUAAGCUCCUGAAUUCUUUUUUAUGUAAAUCAGGGAUUUCUUCUUGGUUUGGAUCCAUUGCUGGUGAGCUAGCGAGAUUUUUCGGCAGUGUUAAAGUGACUUGUUUUGUCAUAUUACCAUGGCUGGUUUUCUGUUUCCUUCUCAUUUGGGUAGGCUCUGUCAGAGGGAAAGUCUAGAGCUGAAGGCUGUUGUUCAGAUUUUUUUUGUCCCACGAGGUGUGUUCUCUUGAUGUAGUAUUCUCCACCUUUUCCUGUGGUUGUGGCUUCCUGUGAGCUGAAAUGCAGUGAUUAUUGUCUCUUUUCUGAGUCUAGCACCCAGCAAGCCUACCCAGCUCCAGGCUGGUACUAGGGAUUUCUGCACAGAGCCCUGUGAUGUAAACCGUCUAUGGGUGUCUCAGCUGUGGAUACCAGUGCCUGUUCAGGUGGAGGUGGCAAAGGUGGCAAUGGACUCCAUGAGGGUUCUUAGUUUUGGUGGUUUUAUGCUCUAUUUUUGUGCUGGUUGGCCUUCUGUCAGGAGGUGGCACUUUCCAGAGACCAUCAGUUGUAGUGUGGAGAGGGACUGGCAGUGGGCAGGGCUCUAGAACUCCCAAGAUUGUAUGUACUUUGUCUUCUGCUACCAGGGUAGGUAGGGAAGGACCAUCAGGUGGGGGCAGGGCUAGGUGUGUCUGAUCUCAGACUCUCCUUGGGCAGGUCUUGCUGUGGUUGCUGUGGGGGAUGGGAUUAGAUUCCCAGGUCACUAGACUUGUGUACCUAGGAGGAUUAUUCCUGCCUCUGCUGAAUCAUGCAGGUUUUCAUGUAAGUGGGGGAAAGCCAGCACUUACAGGCCUCACCCAGCUCCCACGCAAACCGAAGGGUUGGUCUCACUCCCACCAUGCCCCUGGCAACAGCCUCAAGUCUGUUUCCAGGUGGAGGGUGGGCUUGAAAACUUGCUCUAGGCUUUUGCCUCCCAAUUAUGAAAGAAAAAAGCUUUAGUUCUUCCCCAGCCUGUGACAUCUGCAAACAGGAUUUGCACCCUCCCCAAUUUCUGGCCAGGAGUUUCUUGCCCACUCAAAUUGGUACAAAGUUCAGCUACGGAAGUCCUUCUCCCUGUGGGGUUUACCCCCUGCUCCUCUGGCCUCCCUCCUGAUGGAUCCCUGUGGUGUCAGGCAGGAAUGGGCUGCUUGGGGAUUCAGCAAGUUCCCAGGGCCUCCCUGCUGCCUCCUCUACCCUUGUAUUUUACUUGAUUCAGCUCUCUAACUUGACUCAGUUCCAGGUAAAGUGGGGGAUAUCUCCUGCAAACAGACCUUCAACUUUUCCAGCAGGGAGUGUGUGUUCAGAAGAGGAAGGUCUUCCUUUCCCAUUUCAGCAGUUGGGGUACUCACAGUAUUUGGGGUCUCUCCUGAGUCCUGCAGGAGCAGUCUGCUUCCCUCAGAGGCUCUGUGGGUCCUCUCAGGAUUGCUGGUUUGUUCUUGCAGUUGAUCUGAGGCUAAAAUUUACAGUGCAAGCCUCCGCAGGCUGCUCUAUCCAGAGCUGCAAUAUAGUACUGCCUCCCAUCUGCCAUGAUCCUCCCAAGUCCUCAUUAAUAACUUUAACUUGACGAUAUUGAUGGAAAGAUGGAACCAGAAGCGAAAUUCAGUAACUCGAAAAGAAAUGGGACAUCAAGAAGUAGAGAUGAGAAUUACAACAGACUCCAAAAAGUUUGUAUGACAAGGAGAGAAGAGAGGUUUGUUGAAAACUAGAAGAUGUGGUUCAAGGGGAACUUUUAACAUUGGAGAACCUAAGUAAGUUGACAGACUUAGAAGGAAAAGUAGAAGAUGCAGGAUGGAAGGGGGAUGAAUGAUAUAAAAAGCCUUUUAAAAAGCAAUAAGCAACAGGAUUAAGAAAACAGGUGAAGAGACUGAUCUUUAAAAGAGGAGAGUGACUUUAGGUACUAGAAAAAAGGGGUAGUGUAGCAUUUAGAAUGAUUUUGCUUGCAAGCAACAGAAAAUCCAACCAACCACAUAAAGUUUAAAGAAUAAGAAAACUUCAUUAUUUUAUACAUCAAAAAGUCAAGGAAUGGGAUGGUCACAGGUAGGGUUGGCUAAUUUGGUAGCUUAACAGUAUCAUCAAGGACUCAGUUUCUUUUCAUGUUUCUGUACUAACACUGUCAACACAUCAGCUACUCCCAUUACAGUAAACAGACCACUGCAGUAGCUCCAGUCUACAUUCAGAACAAAACGGGGGUAAAGAGCUCUUCUAUGGGCUCCAUUUUUUGAGAGAGAAAAACAUUCCCAGGGUCCCUCAAUAGACUUCCAUUCAAUGGCCAGAAUUUUUUCACAUGUCUAAACCAAGUGCUGGCAAAGGAAAUGAAGUAAUCAUAGUUUUGGGCUAGACUAAUUAUGAUCAAUCCACUGGGGCUAGGCAAAAACCCAGUCACCCUGAAGAACAUGGGUAUCAGAUAUCUAAGCCAAAUCAGGGUUCUGCUAUCAAGGAAAAAUGGUUGGGCACAACUAUUGGGUAAGUAUCUGUCACAUUUGAGGUAAAUGUGGAAAAGUUUACAUUCAAGGGUAGAAAUAACACUGAAUUUCCUUGAUUUACUGCUGAGAGUGAAGAAAUAGGGGUUGAGUAUGAGGAUUGAAAAACAUAUUUGAAAGUCAUUGAAGGAAAUGAGAGAAUGUGUUUACUAAAGACGAAAGAUUGAGAGGCAGUGCUAAGGGACAAGCUGAGAUGGGAGACCAUGAAAUUUUUAGCACACCAACACCAACUGUAUGACUAUAUGACUAUUUUUUCAGUAUAUUUUUCUCUCUUCUCAAUGCAGGAACAAAAGAGAUAGGGAGUAAUAGUACCACUGAUUCGAGGUUGGGAUUUUACUAGGUGGUAUAACAGAAGCAUAAAAAAUGAAAAGGAAUCAAAGAUGCUUGCAGAAGAGUGGUUCAGAUCUCUGUAUAACCCAUGGGAUCUAGGUUGCAUACAGAAAAAAAGUAGUCAGAAAGGUGUUAGUAAAAUGUGAGGAAAAUGGAGUGCUCAAGGACAGGAAGUGCAUAUGAGUUCAAAGUGCAAUGGAAGAAUAUUUCAAGGACCGGACAUUGGGAUCAGAGGGAAGAAUCAUGGAGUACUGCCCAAGCAAAGGUUCGUUUAUGAAGAAAGGAACAGAAUACACGGGAGUCAACAAUGUCUAGCAGUUUGGAGACUGGGUUGCCGGACUGACUGCCUGACAAAUGUUAAAAUAUCCUAGGACUGUGUGGGAAAUAAAUAGGGACAAUGACUGAGAGAUAUCCCCAAAUCAUCAAGGAAGGAUAGGAACUGUAAUGGUUAAUACUGAGUGUCAACUUGAUUGGAUUGAAGGAUACAAAGUAUUAAUCCUGGGUUUGUCUGUGAGGGCGUGGCCAAGAGAUUAAUGUUUGAGUCAGUGGACUGGGGAAGGCAGAUCCACCCUUAAUCUGGUGGGCACAAUCUAAUCAGCUGCUAACAAAUAUAAAGCAGGCAGAAAAACGUGAAAAGGAGAGACAGGCCCAGCCUUCCAGGCUACAUCUUUCUCUGUGCUGGAUGCUUCCUGCCCUCGAACAUCAGACUCCAGGUUAUUCAAUUUUGGGAUUCAAACUAGCUCUCCUUUCUCCUCAGCUUGUGGACAGCCGAUUGUGGGACCUUGUGAUCAUAACCCGAGGCAGGGAGGAGGCCCCCAGGCAAUGCUUGUGUCUUGACUUCACAGCUUCUGAAGUUUGCCUACCUAAUGAAUAGCCCAAGGUGGGCCCUUGGACAACCCCCAAGAAUGGUGGAGUGAUGGAGCUGAAGUGUCCUCAAAGGUGUCAAGUCCAGCCCCACUUGGGACUGAGGAGGAUUAUUACGCUUGCUUCUACCACAUGGGAGGUCAUGAGGGUCAAAUAAAAACAUAUAUGUGAAAAUUUCU